rnacentral:tRNA from 1 species
GGGAAAGUAGCUCAGUGGUAGAGCGCUUGCUUUGCAUGCAUGAAGCCCUAGGUUCAAUUCCUCAGCACCA